rnacentral:tRNA from 1 species
UAAAAAGAUAAGCUAAACAAGCUAUCAGGUUCAUACCCUGACCAUAGAAGUAUAAGUCUUCUUCUUUUUAG